rnacentral:rRNA from 3 species
CAGGUUUACCUGUGUGACUGCGUACCUUUUGUAUAAUGGGUCAGCGACUUAUAUUCUGUAGCAAGGUUAACCGAAUAGGGGAGCCGGAGGGAAACCGAGUCUUAAUUGGGCGUUAAGUUGCAGGGUAUAGACCCGAAACCCGGUGAUCUAGCCAUGGGCAGGUUGAAGGUUGGGUAACACUAACUGGAGGACCGAACCGACUAAUGUUGAAAAAUUAGCGGAUGACCUGUGGCUGGGGGUGAAAGGCCAAUCAAACCGGGAGAUAGCUGGUUCUCCCCGAAAGCUAUUUAGGUAGCGCCUCGUGAAUUCAUCUCCGGGGGUAGAGCACUGUUUCGGCUAGGGGGCCAUCCCGGCUUACCAACCCGAUGCAAACUGCGAAUACCGGAGAAUGUUAUCACGGGAGACACACGGCGGGUGCUAACGUCCGUCGUGAAGAGGGAAACAACCCAGACCGCCAGCUAAGGUCCCAAAGUCAUGGUUAAGUGGGAAACGAUGUGGGAAGGCCCAGACAGCCAGGAUGUUGGCUUAGAAGCAGCCAUCAUUUAAAGAAAGCGUAAUAGCUCACUGGUCGAGUCGGCCUGCGCGGAAGAUGUAACGGGGCUAAACCAUGCACCGAAGCUGCGGCAGCGACGCUUAUGCGUUGUUGGGUAGGGGAGCGUUCUGUAAGCCUGCGAAGGUGGCCUGUGAGGGUUGCUGGAGGUAUCAGAAGUGCGAAUGCUGACAUAAGUAACGAUAAAGCGGGUGAAAAGCCCGCUCGCCGGAAGACCAAGGGUUCCUGUCCAACGUUAAUCGGGGCAGGGUGAGUCGACCCCUAAGGCGAGGCCGAAAGGCGUAGUCGAUGGGAAACGGGUUAAUAUUCCCGUACUUGGUGUUACUGCGAAGGGGGGACGGAGAAGGCUAUGUUGGCCGGGCGACGGUUGUCCCGGUUUAAGCGUGUAGGUGUGUGUUCCAGGUAAAUCCGGUUCACUUUAACACUGAGGCGUGACGACGAGGCACUACGGUGCUGAAGCAACAAAUGCCCUGCUUCCAGGAAAAGCCUCUAAGCAUCAGGUAACAUCAAAUCGUACCCCAAACCGACACAGGUGGUCAGGUAGAGAAUACCAAGGCGCUUGAGAGAACUCGGGUGAAGGAACUAGGCAAAAUGGUGCCGUAACUUCGGGAGAAGGCACGCUGACACGUAGGUGAAGUGAUUUACUCAUGGAGCUGAAGUCAGUCGAAGAUACCAGCUGGCUGCAACUGUUUAUUAAAAACACAGCACUGUGCAAACACGAAAGUGGACGUAUACGGUGUGACGCCUGCCCGGUGCCGGAAGGUUAAUUGAUGGGGUCAGCGCAAGCGAAGCUCCUGAUCGAAGCCCCGGUAAACGGCGGCCGUAACUAUAACGGUCCUAAGGUAGCGAAAUUCCUUGUCGGGUAAGUUCCGACCUGCACGAAUGGCGUAAUGAUGGCCAGGCUGUCUCCACCCGAGACUCAGUGAAAUUGAACUCGCUGUGAAGAUGCAGUGUACCCGCGGCAAGACGGAAAGACCCCGUGAACCUUUACUAUAGCUUGACACUGAACAUUGAGCCUUGAUGUGUAGGAUAGGUGGGAGGCUUUGAAGUGUGGACGCCAGUCUGCAUGGAGCCGACCUUGAAAUACCACCCUUUAAUGUUUGAUGUUCUAACGUGGACCCGUUACCCGGGUUGCGGACAGUGUCUGGUGGGUAGUUUGACUGGGGCGGUCUCCUCCUAAAGAGUAACGGAGGAGCACGAAGGUUGGCUAAUCCUGGUCGGACAUCAGGAGGUUAGUGCAAUGGCAUAAGCCAGCUUGACUGCGAGCGUGACGGCGCGAGCAGGUGCGAAAGCAGGUCAUAGUGAUCCGGUGGUUCUGAAUGGAAGGGCCAUCGCUCAACGGAUAAAAGGUACUCCGGGGAUAACAGGCUGAUACCGCCCAAGAGUUCAUAUCGACGGCGGUGUUUGGCACCUCGAUGUCGGCUCAUCACAUCCUGGGGCUGAAGUAGGUCCCAAGGGUAUGGCUGUUCGCCAUUUAAAGUGGUACGCGAGCUGGGUUUAGAACGUCGUGAGACAGUUCGGUCCCUAUCUGCCGUGGGCGCUGGAGAACUGAGGGGGGCUGCUCCUAGUACGAGAGGACCGGAGUGGACGCAUCACUGGUGUUCGGGUUGUCAUGCCAAUGGCACUGCCCGGUAGCUAAAUGCGGAAGAGAUAAGUGCUGAAAGCAUCUAAGCACGAAACUUGCCCCGAG